rnacentral:rRNA from 1 species
UACGAAGGGUGCAAGCGUUACUCGGAAUUACUGGGCGUAAAGCGUGCGUAGGUGGUUCGUUAAGUCUGAUGUGAAAGCCCUGGGCUCAACCUGGGAAUGGCAUUGGAAACUGGCGACCUAGAGUGCGGUAGAGGGUAGUGGAAUUCCCGGUGUAGCAGUGAAAUGCGUAGAUAUCGGAAGGAACAUCAGUGGCGAAAGCGACUUCCUGGACCAAUACUGACGCUCAUGUGCGAAAGCGUGGGGAGCAAACAGG